CCAUCGGUGGUUCAGUGGUAGAAUGCUCGCCAGCCACACGGGCGGCCCGGGUUCGAUUCCCGGCCGAUGCA
rnacentral:tRNA from 1 species